rnacentral:rRNA from 1 species
GUGGGGAUGAAAGCGGGGGACCUUCGGGCCUUGCGCGAUGGGAGCGGCCGAUGUCAGAUUAGGUAGUUGGUGGGGUAAAAGCCCACCAAGCGCGAGGAUCUGUAGCUGCUCUGAGAGGACGACCAGCCACACUGGGACUGAGACACGGCCCAGACUCCUACGGGAGGCAGCAGUGGGGAAUUUUGGACAAUGGGCGCAAGCCUGAUCCAGCAAUUCCGCGUGCAGGAAGAAGGCCUUCGGGUUGUAAACUGCUUUUGUACGGAACGAAAAGCUCUGGGUUAUGACCCUGGGCUCAU